rnacentral:rRNA from 1 species
AAGAACCUUACCAAGGCUUGACAUGUUCUCGAUACGCCGUAGAGAACGGUUUCCCCUUUGGGGCGGGUUCACAGGUGGUGCAUGGUUGUCCUCAGCUCGUGUCGUGAGAUGUUGGGUUAAGUCCCGCAACGAGCGCAACCCUCGUUCCAUGUUGCCAGCACUAAUGGUGGGGACUCAUGGGAGACUGCCGGGGUCAACUCGGAGGAAGGUGAGGACGACGUCAAAUCAUCCUGCCCCUUAUGUCUUGGGCUUCCCCCCUGCUACAAUGGCCCGUACAAUGGGUUGCGAUACUGUGAGGUGGAGCUAAUCCCAAAAAGCCGGUCUCAUUUCGGAUUGGGGUCUGGAACUCGACCCCAUGAAAUCCGAAUCCCUUUUAAUCCCAAAUUAACCACCCUCCGGGGAAAAUUUA